rnacentral:rRNA from 1 species
CAGUAGCCGCGGUAAUACAGAGGGUGCAAGCGUUAUCCGGAUUUAUUGGGUUUAAAGGGUCCGUAGGCGGAUCUGUAAGUCAGUGGUGAAAUCUCACAGCUUAACUGUGAAACUGCCAUUGAUACUGCAGGUCUUGAGUAAAUUUGAAGUGGCUGGAAUAAGUAGUGUAGCGGUGAAAUGCAUAGAUAUUACUUAGAACACCAAUUGCGAAGGCAGGUCACUAAGAUUUAACUGACGCUGAUGGACGAAAGCGUGGGGAGCGAACAGGAUUAGAUACCCCCGUAGUCCCUGUCUCUUAUAC